rnacentral:rRNA from 1 species
UACGUAGGGUGCGAGCGUUGUCCGGAAUUAUUGGGCGUAAAGAGCUUGUAGGUGGUUUGUCGCGUCUGCUGUGAAAACUCGAGGCUUAACCUCGAGCUGUCGGCGGAAACCAUCUGGCUAGAGUCCGGAAGAGGAGAAUGGAAUUCCCGGUGUAGCGGUGAAAUGCGCAGAUAUCGGGAAGAACACCCGUGGCGAAGGCGGUUCUCUGGGACGGUACUGGACGCUGAGACGCGAAAGCGUGGGGAGCGAACAGG